AGUGACAGUCACCACCUCCCUCACUCUGUCACUAGUCACCCCCUCACUCUAGUGACAAUGAGGGAGGGGGUGACUAGUGACAGAGUGAGGGAGGGAAGUGGUGACUAGUGACAGAGUUAGGGAGGGAAGGGGUGACUAGUGACAAAGUGAGGAAGGGGUGACUAGUGACAGAGUGAGGGAGGGAAGGGGGUGACUAGUGACAGUCACCACCUCCUUCACUCUGUCACUAGUCACCCCCUCCCUCACUCUGUCACUGUGUCACCCCCUUCCUCACUCUGUCACUGUGUCACCCCCUUCCUCACUCUGUCACUAGUCACCCCCUUCCUCACUCUGUCACUAGUCACCCUCUCUCUCACUCUGUCACUAGUCACCCCGUCCC